rnacentral:rRNA from 1 species
UACGGGGGGAGCAAGCGUUGUUCGGAUUUACUGGGCGUAAAGGGCGCGUAGGCGGCCAGCGCAAGUCAGUUGUGAAAUCUCCGGGCUUAACUGGGGAACUGCGUCUGAUACUGGAUGGCUUGGAUUCGGGAGAGGAAUGCGGAAUUCCAGGUGUAGCGGUGAAAUGCGUAGAUAUCUGGAGGAACACCGGUGGCGAAGGCGGCAUUCUGGACCGAUAUUGACGCUGAGGAGCGAAAGCCAGGGGAGCAAACGGG